rnacentral:rRNA from 1 species
GCCCGAUGAACCUGAAUAUCCGUUAUGGAAAAUUCAUCAUUAGAAUUGUAAUAUUUAAAUAAUAUUAUAAGGAUAGUGUGCAUUUUUUCCAUAUAAGGACAUUGUAAUCUAUUAGUAUAACCCCNUAUUUAUCAAAAAAUUAUGGCUUAUAGUUUAUUUAAAUUAAAAUGCUUGCGUUUUAACACAAAAUAAAUGUCAUAAAUUUGAUAAAGUACUGAUAGAUUUAUAUGACUACAGUGCGUUAAUUCUUCGGAAUUAUAUAAUGGCAUGAUUAUCAUUGAUUUUUGUGUUUAUUAUAUGCACUUGUACGAUUAACAAUGCGAAAGAUUCAGGAUACUUCGGG